rnacentral:tRNA from 2 species
UCCUACUUAGCUCAGUUGGCAGAGCACCUGACUGUUAAUCAGGUUGUCGCUGGUUCGAGCCCAGCAGUGGGAGCCA